AUUGAACGCUGGCGGCAGGCCUAACACAUGCAAGUCGAGCGGAUGAAGGGAGCUUGCUCCUGGAUUCAGCGGCGGACGGGUGAGUAAUGCCUAGGAAUCUGCCUGGUAGUGGGGGAUAACGUCCGGAAACGGGCGCUAAUACCGCAUACGUCCUGAGGGAGAAAGUGGGGGAUCUUCGGACCUCACGCUAUCAGAUGAGCCUAGGUCGGUUUAGCUAGUUGGUGGGGUAAAGGCCUACCAAGGCGGCGAUCCGUAACUGGUCUGAGAGGAUGGUCAGUCACACUGGAACUGAAACACGGUCCAGACUCCUACGGGAGGCAGCAGAGGGGAAUGUUGGACAAUGGGCGAAAGCCUGAUACAGCCAUGCCGCGUGUGUGAAGAAGGCCUUCGGAUUGUAAAGCACUUUUAGUUGGGAGGAAGGGCAGUAAGUUAAUACCUUGCUGUUUUGACGUUACCAACAGAAUAAGCACCGGCUAACUUCGUG
rnacentral:rRNA from 1 species